UUAUUUCACAUCCAGCAAGGGAAAUAAUCCCUAAACUCACAUUCCGUUCUCCAUUUAUUUACUUCCAUCUUCCUCUCUUCUCCUUUGAUUCCAGCGGCAGCGAUUAUGGAAGAACAUUAAUGUCGGCAGAAGAAGCAACCAUGGAAGACGGCGCACCAAGGCUAACAGUCACGGCUCACAGGGGAGACAUGAGAUUGAUAUGAUGAAGGAAAGAUUUGCAAAAUUACUGCUUGGUGAAGACAUGUGAGGAUGUGGAAAAGGGGUAUGCACUGCUAUUGCCAUCUCAAAUGCUAUUACUAAUUUGUGUGGUAUGCUUUCAUUGUUAUACACAUUGAUAUAAACUCAUGCUCUAAUUGAGAAACUCGUGAAAAGAAAGAAAUCUGGCGAAGAGAGAUGGACUGACUACUUUGUGUUAGUGAUCACAUUGCUGCACUUGAUGAAGUAUCUUGUAAUU